CUUCUGAAAACUUGCCCUCAGGCCUGAGCAAGAGGGCUGCCCGGUUGCUUCCAUGUAGCCAGCCAGCAUAUGUGCAGGGCCAAGUCUAGAGGGAGGAGGGGGUGGCACAUGGAUGGUUUCGUUUAAUUGGAAGACAGUGGGUAGAUUGGAGCUGGCAUUUGAAGAUGUUGAGAGUUGUGGAUCAUGGGCAAGAAAAGCGCUGUUCUGGGACUGCGGGGCAGGAGAAGGAAACUGAUGCUUCUGAGGGUGAGUCUGAUGAGAUAACAUGCCUGUGUGUGGGCCUCAGGUUAGACAGUGCUGAGGUCUCCCGUCACUGGGCAUCCAGCUGGGUGCUACGGCCGUGGCUCCUGCCUUCUGCAGCCCUGUCAGGGCCCAAGGCCUUCCUCAUCAGCACUUGCUCCAGCCUACUCACUGGAGUUGUGUUCUGGGUGGGUGUGUAGAAUACUCGCACUCCUACUUGGGGCAUCAGGGAGCUCUCUAGCAAUUUCUUCUGCACCUAGGGAGAGCCCACUGCUAAAAAAGGCCUAGUCAAAUCCUCAGGUGUACAUGGACAUCAAGAUUGGGAACAAGCCGGCUGGCUGCAUCCAAACCCUCCUGCGUUCCGACGUCGUGCCCAUGACCACAGAGAAUUUUCUCUACAUGUGCACCCAUUUAAAGGACUCGGCUUCAAGGGAAGCAGCUUCCACCGCAUUAUCCCCCAGUUCAUUUGCCAGGGCAGUGAUUUCACAAACCACGGUGGCACCAGGGGUCUGCGCAGGCAUGGCACUAAGUGUCCCAUGGCACAUUUGGCCCUCAUGGAGGCCUCAAAAGGGCAGGACCAGCACCCUCUUCUACGGAGGAAGGAACGGGCACAGCAGAAACAAGGAGAGUCAGCAAUUACCAGCCAGCCAAGGUCCUGGAAGCUGACGUAGAGCUCGUGCCGACGGCAGACCUGCCGGCCGUGGGAGCCGCGGACGUCAUCUGCAGGGACAGAAGGGGCAAGGUCUUUUCUGGGGUUCCUGCUGUGUGCAGCUACUAUGGGGUACCAGGGUGGGGGAUGCCCUGAUGAGCACAUUUGUCAAAUAAAUGAAUGACAGGAAACCAUUUGGUCUCAUAAAGCCCAUCCCUGGAACGCUGCUUGUACCAUGACCCAGCUCAAAAGCCUGCCAUGGCUCCCAAUGGCUAGAGUGACACUGUGCCCAGUCCUCCCCUGUCCUUCAGCCUAUGAGCGUCUUUAUGCUCCAGUAAACAGCCCAGCAGGACCCUCGGCCAUCCUGUGCCUCCUCCUCUCUGGAGACCCCUGUGACUCCAGCCCACCCUCUCCUGCCACACCCAUUCCCGAGGUUCAAGUGGCUCACGACCAGGCCAGUCAAGGGCCGACUCCCUGGUGAAGGAGGGCACGGGGUUGGGUCAGGCCUGUCCCUGAUCCUGAAGGGCUUGGCCCAGUUGGGGAGAAAACUCGCAUAAGCAACCGAGGAUCCCACAGGGUGCCCAGGCACAACCGCAGGUCAUGAGGGGCUGCGGCUCCCAGGGAAGGGGCAGCUGAUUCUGAAGGAGGCUCCUGAGAAAGACCCGGAGGAGCCAGGGGGAGAGAGGGAGACUUCUGGGCAGCAGGGACAGCCAGGACAGGCCUCCGGAGUGCCGGUCACCAGGGUGCAUCAGGGCCAAGAUGGUGUCAGGAAAGGUGGCUGGAGAGUGGCCGUCAGCUUGAACCGACCUGAGCCUGAGGGCUCUGGGCC
rnacentral:lncRNA from 1 species